ACGCUCAGCCACGGCAGCGGCGCCUAACAAAAACGCGACAACCGUGGCUGGGCGUCCAGCCCAGUCGCCAAUCCAGUCGUUUUAGCAGCCGGAUCUAGCGCCACCACCAGGGGCUGGGCGUCCUGGCCAGGCGCCCCGCCUAUAACGACAGUUUUUUUUUUUAAAAAAAAUUAAAGAAAACAAAAAUACCUUGCCACCGUGAGCCCUCUUCCCUCCGCCGCAGCUGCCGCCAAUUCUUUGCCUUGCCGCCUUCAUAUUGCUGUAGUUUGAAUUUUUUUUUUUAAGAGAGAUGUAGAAAGAUGAUGAGUGUUUGGUGAUGAGAGUGUGAGUGUGUUUUUUUUAUUUUUUAUGUUAAAGGUAAUAUUGUCAAAUCAAGUGAAUUUUGUAGGUUUUAUGUGGAGAUUUGCGGGCGAUAUUUAGCAAUCCACGUCAAUAAACCAUUGUUAUAAGGGGUAUAUUUGACCGCUACGCAACCCACGUCUCCAAUAAAUUACAAGUUCAACUUCUUUCAAUGAAAAAAGGAUAAAGAUGAAAAGAAAAUAACCACAAACUCUUAAUUACCCAAACCCUCAUUUCUGAAAACAUUUUUUUUUAUUAACUUCAUUUAUCCUUUCUAUAAUUCUCUAUCUAAACAUAGAGAAAAGCAUACUAAUUUUUUCUCAAUUUCUUGUUCAUCUAAAAGGUUAGCUAAUCAGAGGUAAGAUUUCUAUUGAUUUUUAAUUUUCUCAAUCAAAAUCCCUCUAUAUAACCGCUAUUUUGCUCGCGAUUGCUAUGAGAAUGUUUGAAUUUAUCUCACUUUCCAAUUUCAAGUUUGCUUUCCUAUUUCCCAACGGGCUGUAAUUUUUUCCUCAUCAACAAGUCAACAACUAAGGCAUUGGAGCAACUCAAUGGCCGACGGAACACCUCUUUAAACAGUUUAAAGGGUAAGAAGAGUUACAGAUUUUAUUCAACUAAUAUUAAAACAAAAUAAUUUUAAUUUUUUUACUGUAGAAUUUUUCAAUUAUAAGAAGUGCCAAAAAAAAUUGAAAUGAUUGUUGUUUAGCUUAGAUGAUUUUUUUCUUGUUGAAGUAUUAUAUGGGUAACAAAGAAGUAGUACGGUGUUAGUACUCUUUAGUAUAUACUUCCGUUUUUUUUAUGUGCAACUUUGAAAUAUUUUAUGUCUCACAAAUAUUCCUCAAAGUUGCACAUAAAAAAAACGGAGGUAGUACUUUUUUUGUAAACAAUGUCUUACAUACUACAGAGUACUUUAUUACAUUAUAAUUUUCCCCAUGUUUUAA